UACACGUCGUAAAAAGGGUUCCAAGUGA
rnacentral:sRNA from 1 species